rnacentral:rRNA from 1 species
UACGUAGGGGGCAAGCGUUAUCCGGAUUUACUGGGUGUAAAGGGAGCGUAGACGGUUAUGCAAGUCAGAAGUGAAAGCCCAAAGCUCAACUUCGGGACUGCUUUUGAAACUGUGUAACUAGAGUGCAGGAGGGGUAAGCGGAAUUCCAUGUGUAGCGGUGAAAUGCGUAGAUAUAUGGAAGAACACCAGUGGCGAAAGCGGCUCUCUGGUCUGUAACUGACGCUGAGGUUCGAAAGCGUGGGUAGCAAACAGG